CCUGGCUCAGAACGAACGCUGGCGGCAUGCCUAACACAUGCAAGUCGAACGCCUAUAGCAAUAUAGGAGUGGCGCACGGGUGAGUAACGCGUGGGAACCUGCCCCGAGGUGGGGGAUAACCGAUGGAAACGUCGGCUAAUACCGCAUACGACCUAAGGGUGAAAGAUUUAUCGCCUUGGGAGGGGCCCGCGUCGGAUUAGCUAGUUGGUGGGGUAACGGCCUACCAAGGCGAUGAUCCGUAGCUGGUCUGAGAGGAUGGCCAGCCACAUUGGGACUGAGACACGGCCCAGACUCCUACGGGAGGCAGCAGUGGGGAAUAUUGGACAAUGGGCGCAAGCCUGAUCCAGCAAUGCCGCGUGAGUGAUGAAGGCCUUAGGGUUGUAAAGUCUUCGGCGGGGACGAUGAUGACGGUACCCGCAGAAGAAGCCCCGGCUAAUUACAGUC
rnacentral:rRNA from 1 species